UACGGAGGGUGCAAACGUUGCUCGGAAUCACUGGGCGUAAAGCGCACGUAGGCGGCCUUGUAAGUUGGAUGUGAAAGCCCUGGGCUCAACCCAGGAAGUGCAUCCAAAACUGCAUGGCUUGAGUACCGGAGGGGUUCAGAGAAUUCCCGGUGUAGAGGUGAAAUUCGUAGAGAUCGGGAGGAACAUCAGUUGCGAAGGCGGCUCUCUGGACCAGCACUGACACUGAGGCACGAAAGCGUGGGGAGCAAACAGG
rnacentral:rRNA from 1 species